GGGCUUAACACAUGCAAGUCGAGGGACAGCAUGGUCUUUUCUUGCUAAGGCCGAUGGCGACCGGCGCACGGGUGAGUAACACGUAUCCAACCUGCCGUCUACUCUUGGACAGCCUUCUGAAAGGAAGAUUAAUACAAGAUGGCAUCAUGAGUCCGCAUGUUCACAUGAUUAAAGGUAUUCCGGUAGACGAUGGGGAUGCGUUCCAUUAGAUAGUAGGCGGGGUAACGGCCCACCUAGUCUUCGAUGGAUAGGGGUUCUGAGAGGAAGGUCCCCCACAUUGGAACUGAGACACGGUCCAAACUCCUACGGGAGGCAGCAGUGAGGAAUAUUGGUCAAUGGGCGAGAGCCUGAACCAGCCAAGUAGCGUGAAGGAUGACUGCCCUAUGGGUUGUAAACUUCUUUUAUAAAGGAAUAAAGUCGGGUAUGGAUACCCGUUUGCAUGUACUUUAUGAAUAAGGAUCGGCUAACUCCGUGCCAGCAGCCGCGGUAAUACGGAGGAUCCGAGCGUUAUCCGGAUUUAUUGGGUUUAAAGGGAGCGUAGAUGGAUGUUUAAGUCAGUUGUGAAAGUUUGCGGCUCAACCGUAAAAUUGCAGUUGAUACUGGAUAUCUUGAGUGCAGUUGAGGCAGGCGGAAUUCGUGGUGUAGCGGUGAAAUGCUUAGAUAUCACGAAGAACUCCGAUUGCGAAGGCAGCCUGCUAAGCUGCAACUGACAUUGAGGCUCGAAAGUGUGGGUAUCAAACAGGAUUAGAUACCCUGGUAGUCCACACGGUAAACGAUGAAUACUCGCUGUUCGCGAUAUACUGCAAGCGGCCAAGCGAAAGCGUUAAGUAUUCCACCUGGGGAGUACGCCGGCAACGGUGAAACUCAAAGGAAUUGACGGGGGCCCGCACAAGCGGAGGAACAUGUGGUUUAAUUCGAUGAUACGCGAGGAACCUUACCCGGGCUUAAAUUGCAGAUGAAUUACGGUGAAAGCCGUAAGCCGCAAGGCAUCUGUGAAGGUGCUGCAUGGUUGUCGUCAGCUCGUGCCGUGAGGUGUCGGCUUAAGUGCCAUAACGAGCGCAACCCUUGUUGUCAGUUACUAACAGGUUCCGCUGAGGACUCUGACAAGACUGCCAUCGUAAGAUGUGAGGAAGGUGGGGAUGACGUCAAAUCAGCACGGCCCUUACGUCCGGGGCUACACACGUGUUACAAUGGGGGGUACAGAGGGCCGCUACCACGCGAGUGGAUGCCAAUCCCCAAAACCUCUCUCAGUUCGGACUGGAGUCUGCAACCCGACUCCACGAAGCUGGAUUCGCUAGUAAUCGCGCAUCAGCCACGGCGCGGUGAAUACGUUCCCGGGCCUUGUACACACCGCCCGUCAAGCCAUGGGAGCCGGGGGUACCUGAAGUGCGUAACCGCGAGGAGCGCCCUAGGGUAAAACUGGUGACUGGGGCUAAGUCAUAACA
rnacentral:rRNA from 1 species